rnacentral:snRNA from 1 species
GAACAUGAGGGCUGCAAUAGUUGUCAUGCUAUUGAUCACCAGGGUUGAUUUGGCUGGCUAGGUAGGUGUCCUCUCCCUCCCUUACUGCUCCCUGUUCCUCCUUCCCAAAACUGCAUGCAUGGUCAAAGAAUACAACCAUUCCUGAUAGAGGAGGACUUGUCUUUGGUCAAGAGUACACAGGUAGCUGUGCUCCCUGUUCGACAGAAACUUCAAACAAGAUAUAUGUAUAUGUAAGUUAAUAUAUUUUAUUAUAU